AUGUGGUUGCCACGCAGCCACGGGUUAAAUGAAACGGUGCGCACGGGCUCGUUGAUGAAGACGAAAAAUGUGCUCUUCAUUUCAGCCUUGCGAAACGGUGCGUACUGAAGAAUUGCAUAUUGUUCUGAAGCUGAAGCUUCCUUCGCAUCUCUUCUCUUCGUGGCCAUCAGCGAAAUCGAACCGAAGAUGUUUCCAUGGAAUUGCCAUCGUGAGUGAGCGUCUCCCUCUCCAAAUUCACAGCUGAAGCUGAAGCUUCUUCAUUACUCCGAGGGAAUGAGAAGAUAGCGUGAGCUUUACAUGGCUCUGAUGCAAUACUAAAGGAAGUAAAGGAGACGUAGGUGAAGUGUUUGAAGAAAUACCUCUGUGAGGAUUUCAUUGAAACCAAAAAAUUUACUAGUAUCGGUUUUCCACUUAAGACCCUUUGGUGCCCAAUACGUACUGUUGCAAUUCUAUCCAAUUCGGUCAAGCAAUUGGAAAGGAUCUCCAGUUGACGGUCAGAGAGAGCAAAAAAAUUGUGCAGUUGUAUUUUUGGGUCUCUUGCCUUGUCGCAUAGAGCUCAAGAAUUGCGAAACCCAGAUCAGAGGUUAGUGCCAAUGGCGAGAGAAACGUGCGAAGACGUUCAGAGAUGUGUCGGUGGCGGAGACGUGCCAGCGGAGACGGCCAUCGGAGACGAGAAAUGGUGCACUAGUUCAUGAGCGCAACGCAAGCUGAAGCUUCUUCGUGGUUCUCUUCCUGCGAGAGAGACGUGCAGUGCGAAGACGGGCUUGAGCUGUAUGUGGUUCUCACAGAGACGGGCCAACGGAGACAUAGGUGCAUCGGUUCGUGAGCGAGAAACCAAGCUUCUCCUUCGUGCCUCGUGUUCUCUUCCUUUCAGGCUUUCAGACUUUUUUUUUUUAAUUCUAUUGUUUUUUUUAAGGCCACGUGAGCAGAGUGCGUAAGGUGUCCCCGAAAUGAACUACCUGUAGCAGAAUUGAUUUAAUUUUUCAUCUUAAUUUUAAUAUUCGGAUAAGAAA